rnacentral:rRNA from 1 species
AAAACGGAGAGUUUGAUCCUGGCUCAGGAUGAACGCUGGCGGUAUGCUUAACACAUGCAAGUCGAACGGUGCUUUCGGGCACAGUGGCGGACGGGUGAGUAACGCGUGAGAAUCUGGCUUCAGGUC